AGGGUCAGGGAUGGAAUAUAGGUAAAUUCUAGAAUGCCUACAUUACAGUCCAAGAUAAAAGUGUAAGAGCGUUCUUUUUACGCCCUUACAAAUUCAACUUUAAAAUUUAUUCUAAUUAGGAAAUUACAGAUAUAUAAGAAACAAGACCACAUAUGUUGUGCUGCUACUCAUGGAACUGCAGCCAAAGUUACUGUGAGGAAUUCCCUGAGAAGCACGGGAGGCACGGAGUGUUGUCUGGGCACUUGCAUCUGGAAGGGUGCAGCUCACAGAGAGGCAGGAAGGCUGGGCUGGGCUUUUUUAAAUGAUAGGGAAUGUAACCUUGCUGUUACUUUGAACAAGGUAACAUGGCAUGCCAUUUCGGUUUAGUGACAAGAAGAGAUGCUCAAUGCAAGCAGAAGCAACCAGAAACCGCAGGCACAAAAUCCUAGUGGUGAAUAUGAAGAGUUGGGACUUGAUUUUUGUUUUCUUGGUUGCUUUUGUUUGAUUUGUGGUUUCUUUGCUUUUUUAAUAACUGGUACAGGUGGCAAAUCUUGGUAGAUUUAUCAGCUACUAACACAUAAAGCAAUGCAGUCUCAAGGAGAAAUAUCACAGUGUAGCAACUGCAGUUCUCUAGGUGUGCUUUGAGAACGGGAGAAAUCUGAUAUCUGGGCAACAAGACUAGCGCAUGAAGGCCAGGCACCUGAGUUCAGUCCCUGGAAAAAAGUUAUCUUCUGGUUUAUACACAUGCUAUGGUGUACACACAUGCACAUAAACCACACAUACACACACACACACACACACACACACACACCACACAUUAAAUGUAAUUUUUUAAAUUUAAAAACUUAUUUUCUCAAUUUAAGUGUUCUUCUGUACUUUUACAUAAAGAGACCAUGAGCUUGCUCACUUCCUGAAUGUUUUCAAUGGAAUAUUUCUUUUUUAUUAGUUCUUUGAGAAUUCAUACACUGUGUAUAUUUAUUUACCUAAUUACUCGUUUGGUUGGUUGGUUUGGUUUUUUGAUACAGGGUUUUUCGGUGUAGCCCUGGCUGUCCUGGAAUUCUCUCUGUAGACUGGGCUGGCCUCAGAGAGAUCCAUCUGCCUCAUCCUCAAAAGUUCUGGGAUUAAAGGCUUGCGCGGCAGCCACCGACUCAUACAAUGUAUUUGACAAUGUUCACUCUGCCUUCCGAUUCCUGUGUGAUCCACUCUCCUUAUCCCACCAACAUUGUGUCCUCUUUUCAAACCCAUCAAGGUCAGCUUGUGCUUCCACGAUGAAUAUGUGGCUCUCCCCUGCAACGUGGUCAUUCUCUACAGCCCUGAAGGAAACUAAGUGUGUCUUGUUCAGCAGCUAUCAGUACCACUAAGUUAGCGUCACAGUUAGGGUAAGAGCUUCAAGUCUACCUCCCCUCUCCAUGCUGGGUUCCUGUGUGGCUUGAGCUCAUGAAAGUCUUGUGCAUGCUUUCAAAACUGCUCUGUGUUUAUGUGUGCCCCUCCAUGUUCAGAAAUAGUUCCCCAUGAUCACCCAUGGCCGCUAGCUCACGCCUUUUCCUAUCUCUUCUCCACAACGCUCUUAAUGGCUGCUUUAUGGAGAGCACUGCAAGGUGUCAAAGGGGCCUGGGAAGUGAGGCAGGCGGCUCCUUAAUCAUCUAUGGACAAGACCAAGCUUUGGGGCAAAUUGUGACGUAGGCCUCUCAUGAUAAUGCUCUCAGAAGAGCUUUGGCAGUGACCCUCAAUGAAAGCAUUCACUUCAGCCAUUCAGGGUUUGCCAUGCUGCAGGCAGCAUUCCUUGAGCCUCGCUAGACACUUACUGCAUUCCUAGUUCUUUUGUUUUUUCCAGAGUAGACUUUUUAAAGAGAUGAUGAUUGCUGACUUGUUUGUUCUCUUUCUUAAGAGAAAGGGAAGAGGUGAAGAGGAAGUCCAGUAGAUCGUCCUAAGCUUUGCCUUUCCUCCGUGGUGGGAUCCAGGGCAGGGCAUGGGCACUAGGACCUUACUCCAUGCUGAAGGGCUCUCUGCACUCUCCCACCAUCCCAGGACCCGCACACGCCGUCCUCGUCAGGAAGUGCCUUUGGUGAAUAAGCGGCGCACACGCGUCUGCUCACCAAUGGUGUGCCUGCACAUUCAUUUUACCCAGCAGGCAUUCAAAGUCAUCUGUUCAAAGUCUGCUUGCAACUCUGGGAUAUAAAUAGCUACAAACUACAGAAACUCUGGAAGUGAAUUGCUAGGCGUUCAGUGCUGGGGGUUAUAUUUAGAAAAACAUUUUCAGCACUAAACAUGUAGUAGUCAGUAUUAAAAUGUUGCUGAAUUCCAUGAGGCCGUUUCUGUUUAAGAUCCUAGUUCCCAUAACUUCCUUUGGAACGGCAGCAUGGCCGGAAGUCAGUCCUCUAGCUGUAACUGAUCAGUGGACAGCAGAAUAUGAUGUUUUGGGUCUCUGGGUAAAUGGUAGCACAUUUGAGGAGACAAAGAAUUUGGGGUUUCAAUUUAUCUUCUUCCAUGACUUGAGAAACAUUGCUUGUGGUUGUGAUAAAAAUAAUAUUCUCAGGAAAUGCUUGAUCUCUGCUUGCUGGGUAUUUCCACUUUAAAAUUUAUUCGGGGAAGGGUGGUGAAACCGGGAGCAUACUAUGAAGUAGCUUUUAGUAGUGUGGGUGCUGGAGCCAGCGCUCUGCCUGUCUGUACAGAGGACGGGAAUCUCAGGGAAGUGAUCUCUUAGGAUGGACUCACAAUCUGGUUACAGCCUCUGCUACAGAAUCCAGGGCCUCCAGAUGGACACUGCACACUUCUGAUUACAAAGAGGGUAGGAAAGUCAUGAGCCUGGUUCUAAAUGAAUUUAGAAAGCAAUCUGAUGUUAGCUCUUCGAAGGCAGAGAAAAUAAAAUAAAAACUAUCGUACUUUAUUUACUAACCAAUGAAUUGAAUUGUCUGCCUUUUAUUACAGAUAUAAAGUAAAGACUAUGAAGAGACAAUCACUUUUGCAGCUAUCAGACUUUCAGUAACAUAUCUCCUGUGGUUUAAAUAACAGAUAGUUUAAGUGUUUUUCCAUUACCUUCGUGUAAAUGAAAAAUGCAUAAAAUAUUUUAACAAGGCAAAGUAAUCCAAGGAGAUUGUUAUUUUGUAUUACAAAUUAGGUUAUUUCUGUCAUAAAAUUAAAGU
rnacentral:lncRNA from 1 species